GGUCGCUGCUAUUGGAGUUCGAUUAAGCCAUGCAAAUCCAGGCCUCGUAAGAGACCGGCAGACUGCUCAGUAACACGUCGCUAAUCUGCCCUAUGGUCUGGGAUAACCUCGGGAAACUGAGGAUAAUACCGGAUAGGGAAUUGUUUCUGGGAUGAUCUUUUCCUGAAAAGCAAUGCCAUAGGAUGAGGCGGCGGCCGAUUAGGUUGUUGGCGGGGUAAAGGCCCACCAAGCCUUUGAUCGGUACGGGCCAUGAGAGUGGGAGCCCGGAGAGGGGUACUGAGAUACGGACCCCAGCCCUACGGGGUGCAGCAGGUACGAAACCUCAGCAAUGCACGAAAGUGUGACUGGGGAACUCCAAGUGCUCAUGCAAAGCAUGGGCUUUUGCCAAAGGUAAGUACUUUGGCGAAUAAGUGGUGGGUAAUACUGGUGCCAGCCGCCGCGGUAACACCAGAGCCACAAGUGGGGAUCGCCAUUACUGGGCCUAAAGCGUUCGUAGCCGGCCGGGUCAAUCUCCUGUGAAAUCGCAGCGCUCAACGUUGCGGCGUGCAGGAGAGACUGCCCGGCUCGGGACCGGGAGGCGUAUGAGGUAUUCCAGGGGUAGCGGUAAAAUGCGAUAAUCCCUGGAGGACCACCUGUGGCGAAGGCGUCAUACGAGAACGGAUCCGACGGUGAGGGACGAAAGCUAGGGGAGCAAACCGGGUUAGAUACCCGAGUAGUCCUAGCAGUAAACCCUGCGAGCCAGGUGUCACGCAUUCUACGGGAGUGCGUGGUGUCGUAGAGAAGUCGUUAAGCUCGCCGCCUGGGAAGUACGGUCGCAAGGCUGAAACUUAAAGGAAUUGGCGGGGGAGCACUACAAGGGGUGCGGCGUGCGGUUUAAUUGUAUUCAACACCGAGCAUCUCACCAGGAGCGACGGCAGAAUGAAGGUCAGUCUGAAGGGCUUACCUGACGAGCCGAGAGGUGGUGCAUGGCCGUCGUCAGCUCGUGCUGUGAAGUGUCCUGUUAAGUCAGGCAACGAGCGAGACCUAUGCCCACAAUUGCCAGCGAGCAGCGUGCUGUGAUCGGGCACUUUGUGGGGACUGCCUGGGAAACCAGGAGGAAGGUGUGGGCUACGGUAGGUCUGUAUGCCCCGAAUCUUCUGGGCUACACGCGCGCAACAAUGGUCGAGACAAUGGGCUGCGACGCCGGAAGGCGGAGCUAAUCCUCUAAACUCGACCUUAGUACGGAUCGAGGCUUGCAACUCGGCCUCGUGACGCCGGAAUCCCUAGUAAUCGGACGUCAUCAUCGUCCGGUGAACAUGUCCCUGUUCCUUGUUCACACCGCCCGUCAAACCACUCGAGCAGGGUCUGAAUGAGGCGCACCUUAUUGGGUGCGACGAAUUUAGGCUCAGUGAGAUGGGUU
rnacentral:rRNA from 1 species